UACGUAGGGAGCAAGCGUUGUCCGGAAUCAUUGGGCGUAAAGCGCGCGUAGGCGGCCUCAUAAGUCCGUUGUGAAAGUCAAAGGCUCAACCUUUGAAAGCCGAUGGAUACUGUGAGGCUAGAGUCCGGAAGAGGCGAGUGGAAUUCCUGGUGUAGCGGUGGAAUGCGCAGAUAUCGGGAGGAACACCAACGGCGAAGGCAGCACUCUGGGCUGGAACUGACGCUGAGGAGCGAAAGCGUGGGUAGCAAACAGG
rnacentral:rRNA from 1 species